rnacentral:rRNA from 1 species
CGGGUGGUAAUGCCGGAUGUUCCACAUGAUCGCAUGUGAUUGUGGGAAAGAUUCUAUCGGCGUGGGAUGGGGUCGCGUCCUAUCAGCUUGUUGGUGAGGUAACGGCUCACCAAGGCUUCGACGGGUAGCCGGCCUGAGAGGGCGACCGGCCACAUUGGGACUGAGAUACGGCCCAGACUCCUACGGGAGGCAGCAGUGGGGAAUAUUGCACAAUGGGCGCAAGCCUGAUGCAGCGACGCCGCGUGAGGGAUGGAGGCCUUCGGGUUGUAAACCUCUUUUGUUUGGGAGCAAGCCUUCGGGUGAGUGUACCUUUCGAAUAAGCGCCGGCUAACUACGUGCCAGCAGCCGCGGUAAUACGUAGGGCGCAAGCGUUAUCCGGAUUUAUUGGGCGUAAAGGGCUCGUAGGCGGCUCGUCGCGUCCGGUGUGAAAGUCCAUCGCUUAACGGUGGAUCUGCGCCGGGUACGGGCGGGCUGGAGUGCGGUAGGGGAGACUGGAAUUCCCGGUGUAACGGUGGAAUGUGUAGAUAUCGUAAAAAAAA